rnacentral:rRNA from 1 species
AUGAUCCGUGAUUUCUGGUGGGGUGCGAGCCAAGGACAUCAGCGUACACACUGGGUGGCUUGGGACAUCAUGCUUCGCCCCAAAUCUUAUGGUGGCAUGGGGUUCCGAGAUAUGAAACUCUUCAACCAAGCCUUGCUUGCCAAGCAGGCCUGGAGACUGAUUGAGAAUCCACAAAGCUUAUGUGCUCAGGUACUGAAAGCAAAGUACUACCCAAAUGGCUUCCUGGUUGAUAUUGUAUUUAUGGGCAAUGCGUCCUCAUCGUGGCAAGCUAUCGAGUAUGGG